UACGUAGGUGGCAAGCGUUAUCCGGAUUUAUUGGGCGUAAAGGGAACGCAGGCGGUCUUUUAAGUCUGAUGUGAAAGCCUUCGGCUUAACCGGAGUAGUGCAUUGGAAACUGGGAGACUUGAGUGCAGAAGAGGAGAGUGGAACUCCAUGUGUAGCGGUGAAAUGCGUAGAUAUAUGGAAGAACACCAGUGGCGAAAGCGGCUCCCUGGUCUGUAACUGACGCUGAGGUUCGAAAGCGUGGGUAGCAAACAGG
rnacentral:rRNA from 1 species